UGGGGAAUUUUGGACAAUGGGCGAAAGCCUGAUCCAGCAAUGCCGCGUGUGUGAAGAAGGCCUUCGGGUUGUAAAGCGCUUUUGUCCGGAAAGAAAUCCUUGGAUCUAAUACAGUCGGGGGAUGACGGUACCGGAAGAAUAAGCACCGGCUAACUACGUGCCAGCAGCCGCGGUAAUACGUAGGGUGCAAGCGUUAAUCGGAAUUACUGGGCGUAAAGCGUGCGCAGGCGGUUUGCUAAGACCGAUGUGAAAUCCCCGGGCUCAACCUGGGAACUGCAUUGGUGACUGGCAGGCUAGAGUAUGGCAGAGGGGGGUAGAAUUCCACGUGUAGCAGUGAAAUGCGUAGAGAUGUGGAGGAAUACCGAUGGCGAAGGCAGCCCCCUGUGCCAAUACUGACGCUCAUGCACGAAAAGGCGUGGGGGAGCAAAACAGGAUUAGAUACCCCUGGUAGUCCACGCCCUAAACGAUGUCAACUAGUUGUUGGGGAUUCAUUUCCUUAGUAACGUAGCUAACGCGUGAAGUUGACCGCCUGGGGAGUACGGUCGCAAGAUUAAAACUCAAAGGAAUUGACGGGGUCAUAGCUGUUUCCU
rnacentral:rRNA from 1 species